UACCUGCAGCUCGAGUGGUAACCAUUAUUAUUGGGCCUAAAGCGUCCGUAGCCGGUUUGGUAAAUAUCUGGGUAAAUCGUGAGGCUUAACUUCACGAAUUUCGGAUAGACUGCCAGACUUGGGAUCGGGGGAGGUCAGAGGUACUCCAGGGGUAGCGGUGAAAUGUUGUAAUCCUUGGAGGACCACCGGUAGCGAAGCCGACUGACUAGAACGAGUCCGACGGUGAGGGACGAAGCCCUGGGGCGCAAACCGGAUUAGAUACCCGGGUAGUCCAGGGUGUAAACGAUGUGGGCUUUGUAUUGGAGGUCCCACGUGGGCGUCCAGUGCAGAAGAGAAGUUGUUAAGCCCACCGCCUGGGAAGUACGGUCGCAAGGCUGAAACUUAAAGGAAUUGGCGGGGGAGCACAGCAACGGGAGGAGCGUGCAGUUU
rnacentral:rRNA from 1 species